GGUUUUUGCACGUAUAAUUAAGAUAUGGGGAAUGCAGCUAAAGAGGUCAAAUAACUUGCUCAAGUUUACACAGUGACAACACUGGAAUUUGAACCCAGCAAGACUGACUUGUCACUGCCAUCCAAUACUAAUCCUCAUCAGCAUCAGGUUCGCAGGGUUGGAGCCCCUUUCUUGGAAGACCUUCUGUGGUAGGCUCUUCCCUAGUGGCCUCUUUAGGAACAAUGCCUCUGACCCCUGGCCACUAGCUGAAGUUCUGGUCCAAAACAGAUGAACACCCUCCCAAUGAUGUCCCAAGCAUUGCCACUUCCUGGAAACUCAUACUGCCAUGUUCCACUCAUCUGAUUGGAUUUCCGUGAUGUGGAUUCUUGCCUGGACUAGUAAUCAUACUAAGCUGUAACUACUUACCACUCAGUGUGAAAGCACAUGAGGCAUAUUGCUACUGAUCCUUACAAGAGUCUGCAUGAAGAGAGUGUAUCUCCCAUUUUAGAAGUAGCUCAGAGGAGUGCAAAUGAUGGCCCAAAACCACACGGAUAGAGCAUAGCAAAGUUAGCAUUCAAACUCAGGUCUGCUGACAUCACAGCCCAUAUUCAUUUCAUUGUUUCUAAGUUUGCUAGUCCCCAUGAAACACUCUCAGUUGAACCUCUGACCACUCCCCUUGGGGGCCAGCCUCAACCCCUGGUUAGUGGCCUAACCCUAGUCCCACCCACCACAGCUUCCUCUCCUUCCCCUCCUUCCCUCACCCUAGGCCUGCCAAGUCCACAUCCCACCUUGGGAUUGAGCUCGUCUGGGGUGUGAGCUUUAUUAAUCCAAAAUGUUCAAAAAACUUUCCAUAGACUAUGACUCAGAAUAUGUUUAAGCCAUCAUCCUCAGCAAACUAACACAGGAACAGAAAACCAAACACCUCAUGUUCUCACUCAUAAGUGGGAGUUGAACAAUGAGAACACAUGGACACAGGGAGGGGAACAACAUACACCGGG
rnacentral:lncRNA from 10 species